rnacentral:rRNA from 1 species
GGACCCGCACAAGUAGUGGAGCAUGUGGUUUAAUUCGAAGAUACGCGCAGAACCUUACCAACACUUGACAUGUUCGUCGCGACUUUAAGAGAUUAAAGUUUUCGGUUCGGCCGGACGAAACACAGGUGCUGCAUGGCUGUCGUCAGCUCGUGUCGUGAGAUGUUGGGUUAAGUCCCGCAACGAGCGCAACCCUCACUUUUAGUUGCCAUCAUUUAGUUGGGCACUCUGAAAGAACUGCCAGUGAUAAGCUGGAGGAAGGUGGGGAUGACGUCAAGUCCUCAUGGCCCUUACGUGUUGGGCUACACACGUGCUACAAUGGCAUUUACAAUAGGAAGCAAGAUGGCGACGUCAAGCAAAUCCUAAAAAGAUGCCUCAGUUCGGAUUGUACUCUGCAACUCGAGUACAUGAAGCUGGAAUUACUAGUAAUCG